ACAACCCCCAGGACAAUCGCAUGGCAAUCGGAUUGAACGCGCAACAUUUUCCAUACAAUCCGCAGUGUUGCGUUUUCUUCGCGCCAACUUUGCCUGUAUUUUCAAUGAGCCAAACGAUUUUACCCCCUCCUACACGCGAUGUAUCCUAAAGCACGCUUGUCGCGGCAACGUUCACCACAUACACACACACAUCUCCACACUCAGGGUACGACAUCUUCCCUGUUGCUGUUCUGGCCUCAGACAAAAUUUGUGUUUCUACACUUAUUGUUCAAAAAAGUAGUAGCUCUUAGGAUCUGAAUUUACAAACAAAUAUCAAAAUGUUAUGUUCUGCUAAUGAUAUUGCACUAAAUUUAAUUGCACUACAUUAAGUUUUUACAUAUCUUUCGUAAAAGUUCGUCAGAGUAUGAAAAUGUCGAUACAAUUUGUCAUGAAUAACUUAAAUUUUAAGAUUUUCGCGCAUAAAAUUAUGACGCGCGCUGUCUGUGCGGCGGCGUAAUUCGCUACUCGUAUAGCCGUCUCGCUUCUUCUUGUGUGUGCUUUACCGUUGCUCACCGCUUAAAGAACAUUGCUGCUCACACACACGUCAGUCUGUGGCAAACAAUUGGAGGGGGAGGAUGUGUCGGUUUGCUCCAGAAAUCAUGUGUGAUUUUGGUGAUCUGGAUUUGGUUCCAUCGCUGUUUGUUUUGGUGGAAUUGAAAAGGUAAGAAUCAUCAACCGAUGUAAAACUGUGAGAGUAAGAUGAUGCUGAUGGUGACUGAUGCUUUUCUUUGUUUGUUUUUCGGCUUUUAUCCUCUGAUGGCGUCGAGCAUCGCCGAGGAUGUGAUCGAAUGCGGAAUAUUCUAAACGAGGAGCUUCAUUCCGGAUUUUGUUUGCAAUAAGCGCUGAACUCAUCCUCCAGCUUACAACGAACGGUCAACGGAUGAGGAAGGAGAGGAGAGACGGCAAAGGUACACACACAAACGUGCACACCUCAGCCUUGUCGGAGAACGAGAACACGGGAGGGGGAGACCGGCAACGUAGGUUCUAUACGUUCUUCAUUUAUGCUCCCUCGUGCGUGCGUGCGUGCGUGCACGCGCGCGUCUGUGUGUGUGUGUAUGUGUGUGCAUGCCUGCGUGCGUGGCUGUGUGUGUUUUUGCCGCUUCGCUUAACGAGAUCCUACGGGAUCACCUUGUGAAAAACACCAAGAGAGGGGGAGGGGUAGGUGUAUGUGUAUGUGUGUGUAUGUGUGCUUGCAUGCGUACGUGGUUGUGAGUGUGUUUUUUGCUGUUUCGCGAUCUCCUACGGAAUCAAAAGGGGGUGGGGGGAACACGAGGGGGGGAGGAGUGAGGUGUGUGUUUGUGUGCUAGCCUGCAUGCGUGCGUGGCUUUGUCUGUGUGUGUUUUUGCGUUCGCGUUCUCCUACGGGAUCACCUUGCGAAAAACACCAUGGGGAGGAGAAGGUGUGUGUGUGUGUUUUCUCUUCUUUGUCGUUUCGCACUCUCCCGUGGGUCUCCUUGUGUGCGUUAGUUUUUUUGUUUUUCAAGAAGAAAAAAAAAAUACUUCGAAAAAUACCAGCGGGGAGGGUGUGUGUAUGAAUGAAAAAAUGUGCUUAGAAAAAGAAAGUAGAAAAUAAAAAAAAUAUUGAACAACGGA